CUCUCACAUACGAUUCCUCUCCCAUGAACAACGGCUCAAGUACCAUGGGCUGUUCCUCUCUCAUCUGCGUCAGCAUCAUGGAAGUUCACUGUGCGGCCACCUUGCCGUGGUUGGUUCAGUUCGUUCUCUGAUGCCGUUUCGGUAUUCGUUUAAAACGAAAACUGAUCUAGCCCAAACGAAAACGAAAGCCCCUCUGUCCUCUUCUAAUCCACCACUCCAAGCCUCAUUCACGGGUAUAGCUAUUUGUAAAGGCAUAAGCUAGAGGCUUUGAUGAGGCCCAUGUUGAUGAUGGUUUACUAGAAAUAUUUGGCCUAAAGCAAGGGUGGCAUGCAUCUUUUGUUAUGGUUUAACUCAUCUCUGCCAAACACAUUGCUCAGCAGAAGAUCCAGACGAAUGGCAACUUGGAUAACCUAGUUGGAGUGGUUCCUUUAUGUCAUUGUGAUGCAUAUGAUAAUUAGCUUGUAACAAAAAUUAUUUUUAAGGAUGAGAUUUGAAUAAUAAAGCAUUCAGAUUAUUUCCAAAAAUUCUCCCCUCCAUGUCUAGUACAAAUUCUUGUAACUUCAAAGUACGUAUGCAAUGUGAAUUUGUAAAUUCUUGUAAUUUCAAAAUUCUUAAUAUAAUGUGAGUUUGUAUCUUCA